GACGAACGCUGGCGGCGUGCUUAACACAUGCAAGUCGAACGGAAAGGCCCUGCUUUUGUGGGGUGCUCGAGUGGCGAACGGGUGAGUAACACGUGAGUAACCUGCCCUUGACUUUGGGAUAACUUCAGGAAACUGGGGCUAAUACCGGAUAGGAGCUCCUGCUGCAUGGUGGGGGUUGGAAAGUUUCGGCGGUUGGGGAUGGACUCGCGGCUUAUCAGCUUGUUGGUGGGGUAGUGGCUUACCAAGGCUUUGACGGGUAGCCGGCCUGAGAGGGUGACCGGCCACAUUGGGACUGAGAUACGGCCCAGACUCCUACGGGAGGCAGCAGUGGGGAAUAUUGCACAAUGGGCGGAAGCCUGAUGCAGCAACGCCGCGUGCGGGAUGACGGCCUUCGGGUUGUAAACCGCUUUCGCCUGUGACGAAGCGUGAGUGACGGUAAUGGGUAAAGAAGCACCGGCUAAUUACGUGCCAGCAGCCGCGGUGAUACGUAGGGUGCGAGCGUUGUCCGGAUUUAUUGGGCGUAAAGGGCUCGUAGGUGGUUGAUCGCGUCGGAAGUGUAAUCUUGGGGCUUAACCCUGAGCGUGCUUUCGAUACGGGUUGACUUGAGGAAAGGGUAGGGGAGAAUGGAAUUCCUGGUGGAGCGGUGGAAUGCGCAGAUAUCAGGAGGAACACCAGUGGCGAAGGCGGUUCUCUGGGCCUUUCCUGACGCUGAGGAGCGAAAGCGUGGGGAGCGAACAGGCUUAGAUACCCUGGUAGUCCACGCUGUAAACGGUGGGUACUAGGUGUGGGGUCCAUUCCACGGGUUCCGUGCCGUAGCUAACGCUUUAAGUACCCCGCCUGGGGAGUACGGCCGCAAGGCUAAAACUCAAAGGAAUUGACGGGGCCCCGCACAAGCGGCGGAGCAUGCGGAUUAAUUCGAUGCAACGCGUAGAACCUUACCUGGGUUUGACAUGGAUCGGGAGUGCUCAGAGAUGGGUGUGCCUCUUUUGGGGUCGGUUCACAGGUGGUGCAUGCCUGUCGUCAGCUCGUGUCGUGAGAUGUUGGGUUAAGUCCCGCAACGAGCGCAACCCUUGUUCACUGUUGCCAGCACGUUAUGGUGGGGACUCAGUGGAGACCGCCGGGGUCAACUCGGAGGAAGGUGGGGAUGACGUCAAGUCAUCAUGCCCCUUAUGUCCAGGGCUUCACGCAUGCUACAAUGGCUGGUACAGAGAGUGGCGAGCCUGUGAGGGUGAGCGAAUCUCGGAAAGCCGGUCUCAGUUCGGAUUGGGGUCUGCAACUCGACCUCAUGAAGUCGGAGUCGCUAGUAAUCGCAGAUCAGCAACGCUGCGGUGAAUACGUUCCCGGG
rnacentral:rRNA from 1 species